AACAAGGUACAUAAUGUUUCAAGUCUGAUAAACAAGCCUACUUUCUCAAAGUUCUGUUCCUACCAACUGUAUGGGAUGAACAGGAAAAUCUGUUAAGUGUGUACUAUAAAUGUGGUAACAGUUUGACAUCUGUGAUAUUCUCUGAAGUUGCAGAUGCAGAGGACUUGAGGCCAUGUGCCACCUCAAGCCAGAGCGACAUUAGUCCAAGUGGCAGCCAGGAAGAAGCUGGCCAAGACAGAGCAUCAGAAUCAGACCAAGAGCUGCCAUCCCUGCUUGAUGAUCCUGUGGCUUCUGAGAUGCCUGCUGGAUACAUUAAAGAUCUUCAAGCAGUGGAGAUGAGGAUAAUGGUGAAACUGGAGAUGAUCCGUACAGAGUUCAGGACUGCUCUGAACCAAGUUAUGGAGGCCAUAG